rnacentral:tRNA from 1 species
GAGGAGUUCGCAGAGGUGACGGUGGGCGACUCCCAAUCGCACCAAACCGCCCUCCUCCGGGGGCGGGCGUUCCGGCUUCAGCCGCUCCUCC